UACACUUUUAAAAUCUAUUCCCAUUUAAUCCUCCUAAUGACAUUUUACAGAGGAGAAUACUGAAUCACUAUAGUUAAAUAACUUGUCCAAGUGAACAGUGGGGUUAGGACUCAAAGCCAGGCUACGUUGUGAUGAGUCCAUGGCGUGGACCAGUCCAGUACACUACCUUUUUGGCCCAACUUACGGCCCCAGGUAAGAGAUGUCGAAUGAAGCUGGGCCAGCAAAGUAAGCCCCAUGAUGUAGGGUUCCCUAAGGCCGUGAGCAUAGGAAUUCGAUGCGUUAUAUGGGUACUAGAAAGCCAGAGAGAAACAUGGCUGGCACGAUCUGAUUGUUGCUUUAGAAAGGUCAUCUUCAUGACUGAAUGUAGGAUGAGUUCUAGGGGGCUGAGGGCAGAGAGAGAGAGAAGUAAGGAGUCUGAUGCAGUAGAUAGUCCAGAGGAGAGAUGUUGCUGGCAUGAACAAGGACAGUGACCGUGGUGACGAAGAAGAGGGAUAUGGAUUUGAAGAACUUUUUAUUUAGUUACCAGGACUUCAUGAUUAGAGUGUAAAGGCAACGGAGAAGGGGGAGUAUAAGCCGUGGAAAAAUAGGUCCCAUGAUGGCUAACAUCACCUCAAUCCAGGCCAUCAAGUGCCUUUCCUCCCCUCUUCUGUCUUGCGUGUGUUCCACAAACAAGAUUUUGUUACUUCUUCACUGUGUUUCUUGUUCAGUGUCCCUUCAUUUCUAUUUUUCUCCUAAGUUUAUUUAUUUAUUUUGAGGGACGGAGAGGGACAGAGAGAGGGGGAGAGAGAAUCCCAAGCAGGCUCCAUGCUGCCAGUGCAAGCAUGAUGUGGGGCUCAAACUCACAAACCGCGAGAUCGUGACCUGAGCUGAAACCAAGAGUCUGAUGCUCAACCAACUGAGCCACUCAGGUGCCUCCCAUCAUUUUUAUUUUUAUGCCACUCAGUUCAUACGGCUUCAUGCCUGGAUUACUGCAAUGACAGUAAUAUUUUGAGAUAGCCGGAGAUCAGCCAGCCAGCUGUGAGAUAUUUGUUUCCAUACCCUCACCGUUCCUCCCAUUCAGCCAAUAGUCCUGACUCAGAGAAGAGAUGAUAUUGCAGAAUACAAGGGAGAGGGCUCUUGGGAUUCAGGAGCUGAGGGUCUCAGGAGACUCAAGCCCCAAUCAUAGCGAUUUGCAGAUUCAUGACAAUAUAGAGCAAGGAGUCACUCUGCCCAGAGAAGAUUCUCCCGGACAAGGGUAGGGAGGAGAACUGGAAGGAAAGCAAGAGGAAAGUUGGGGAGCUCUUCUGAGAAAAGAACAUGCACCUUAGUUUCCCUCCAGGCUAAAUGCUGGAGGAGUAGGGUAACAUAACAAAAAACCCCUUAGCAUUCAGGGGACUCAGCACAGAGAUAACCUAUGUGCUAGUCUCACGUAGACCCAAGAUUGCCCUGUGUACCAGAAAUGGGUGUGUGGGAGAAAGACUCUCCGAGGUCUCCCAAUGGGAAGCUGGAGAGUGGGUUCCCAUAUCCCUAAGAGGGGACCUCACGCAGACAAGUGAGCCAUCCAAGGGAACCACUGUGGAUGAGACCAAGGGACUACCCAGCAGAGACCUGUGCAGAUCAGAUGUUCCACCCCUGGCCAAACACCCCAUGCAUUAGCACCAUGGUGCCACCCAAACAAGGCAACCCCAGGAUACAGAGUAGGGUCUCCCCCUCUUCUGUGUGCCUGACUUAGUGUUGUCAAAUGUCUUGUCUUAAAAUAAUUGCUUUCAUAAUGAGACUUUCUGUCGAAGAACUCCCAGCUGCUCUUUAUUGUACAUCUCAACAAAGUCAAGCUCUUCUUUCUGGCUUUAAAAAAACAACCUCUGGCACGCCUGGGUGGCUCAGUGGUUCGGCCUCCCACUUCAGCUCAGGUCAUGAUCUCACAGUCCGUGAGUUCAAGCCCCACGUCGGGCUCUGUGCUGACAGCCUGGAGCCUGCUUCAGGUUCUGUCUCUCCCUCUCUCUCUCUCUGCCACUCCCCUGCUCGCAUUCUGUCUCUCAAAAAUAAAAUAAAAACAUUAAAAAAAUUACAUAAAUAAAGAAUCCAGACAUUCAAAAGCACCCAUGUUGCAACAAUGCUCGCAAGUGACAGUGCUGUGUUAUCUCGCUGGCAGGCAAAGGUGUAGACCCAGAAAGAAACCUCUGCUUCCAGGCUGAAGUGCAGCAAGACCAUUCCUAACGCAUCGUUUACAGUCCCAACACCAGCAUCUCAGCUACACUGCAGCAUUUCUGCUAGAGGCAGAGUUAUCCCAGAAGAAGAAACUAUUAAUAUCAGUGGGAGGAGUAACCAAGUCAGAGAAAAAGUGGCUGCACCAGCUUGCAUUCCAACCAACAAUGCAAAAGAGAUCCUCUUUCUCCGGAUCCUCGCCAACAGCUGUAGUUGCCUGAGUUGUUCAUGUUUGCCAUUCUGACAGAGACAGAGCGUGAGCAGGGGAGGGGCAGAGAGAGAGGCAGACACAGAAUCCGAAGCAGGA